CCUUGUUGGCUAGUCUUUUGCAGG
rnacentral:piRNA from 1 species